rnacentral:pre_miRNA from 1 species
UCAUGAUGAUCAUGAUGAUCAUGAUGGUGGUGGUGAUGGUGAUGAUGAUGAUGAUCAUCAUCAUCAUCAUCAUCAUCAUCAUGAUCAUGAUGAUGG